CUAAUUAACCCAUUAAGUAGCUGAUUAAGGAGGCUCAGGUAUAGGCAGGGCCUAUAAAGCCCAGGAGUUGAAAAAGAAGGGGAUAGUGAGUGGAGACUGCAGUCACUCCUUGGGAAGAGGGAUCCUGAGAUUCUGAGGAUAACCUAUGCAACAAUGCUAUAAGAACAAGGAUUGUUCUUACUGGAGAAAAGGUGUUUAAGAGGGGAUAUGUUAGAAGUCUUCAGGAUGUACAAGGGAUACCAUGAGAACAUGUGGAUAAGAUAUUUGAAUGGAAUCGGUGAUAAACCAAAGGACUCAGGAAGAAAGUGGUCAGAGACAUGGCCUAAAAAUAAGUAAACUAUAUUUGAAAAGAGCUUUGUUUGAGACACAGUUUUAAUACAGAGGGUUGUAAAUUUUACCUUCAAAGGUCAGAGAAGUUGAAACAACUCAGUCUAGUUCCUCUUUCAACACUGCUAAUACUUGAAAGAAAAUAUCUGGCCACAAGGUGGUUGACAUUUUAAUCAAUGCUUUUGUCACAUCAAGAACUAACAAUUGUAAUUUUUAUCUGUAGAUCUUCCAGUUAUUUUCUAUUCAUACAAUGUUCAAAAAUUAUAUUGCCUAUAUGGAUUAAGUCUGCCUAUCCUAUCUUUAUGUUAAAAGUUUCUUCUGUAUCUAGUAAUGGGUUCAUUUUAAUAAUUUUGUACUUGCUGUGUAAGGCUUAUUUGACAUAACUCCCACUUUGUAUAAGAUGUUCUGCUUUCUUACCCACCAGGACACUCCUUGUUUUUCAGCUUGCAAAAGGAUUUGUGGAUUGUAUGUUUUUUGCGUUAUUUGGCUCUUUGGCUCAUCCUGAAAGUGACUGAGCUAUCUUGGAACUCAAUUCCACUAAAAUUCAAGCUCUUAAGGGUGAAUUCUGACUGCAGAUACAAAAUAAGUUGUUUUAGUUAAUUUAAGUUGCCCCGGUACCAAGCACCAUUCAAAACCUUUAAACAAAAUACACAGCAACAUAUCACUAUUUUUUUUUUUCAUAAAGCCAUUUACUAUGAAUGCAUCCACAAGUAGCAGCCACUAGAAGAUGUAUGUGACAUACAUACGCACACCAUUCUAAAUGUAUUCUUAAUAUAGUAUUGGAACAAAACCCACAACAAUAACCCUGUAGUCAAAUUCUGAAUUCUUGGCUCAGUUUUUAGUUUGUUUUGAGACAAAACUCCCAUUUAAUUUCAACAAGAGUUUUGCCUGAGAGAGAAUUCAUGAUUAUAUUACUACUCAGUUUUAGCCAACACAAUAAGAUCAAUGGAGAGUUUUUAUACAGGACUGUCCUAUUUUCCAAAAUACAGAUGAUCUAGGCUACUAUUAACAUACAUAAAUGUAAUCAGUGUUCCCAACAAAUUUUUUUAGAUUCCUUCAUGUCACUUUUGGGAUGAGAUGAUCUUAAUGCAAGCAACAAGGUCCAAAACUUUACUAAUUUAUAAAAAAACCAACAUAUACAUUUUCCCCACAUUUUUGGAAAUUUACAUGAUAUUACAAAAGAUUUACACCAGAUGAAAAUUUGAUUCCUACCAUCACAGAUAAUUGCCUUUUUAGCAAGAUGGCUGCCACUAGAAACAGGCUAAGAAAUGCCAGCUGUAAUUUAAAUUUUAAAUUACAGUGGAUAUAGAAUCUCAUAGAGGGUUUCACAACACUAGAUGUUUGAUUCCCCUGGAAUACACUUGCUUUUCCUUCAAUUCACUUGAGAAACCCACAUAGUCUGUGAAGUCUACCUGCACAUUCAUAUACCAUGUUGUUCAUUACUAUUUGUAUUGUACUUAUUUAUGCCUUUAAAUUAUAAACUCUUUGCUGGGGAAAGUUUUUUGCUGUUGUAUACAGUGUCUUAUCUGUUAAAGGAGAGCCAUAGGUAUAUAUUAAGUUUAAGGAAUAGAAAUCUGUUUUAGCUGCUGAUGGACCAGGGAUCUAGUUCUAGUGUUGUGUGAAUGUGACUAUGUUGUGAUUGCAUCUAUUGUCUGAAAACAGAUUCUUUACUCCAGAUUUCCAUGCAGAUCUACCAAUGCUCUUCAAUUCUGAACUGUAGCAUCCUUUGCUAUUCCAGUCCCACCUCCACAUUCUUAUUCUACAGCAUUCUGUAAUGCACCCUAGCUUCAACCCCAACCAGUUCAUCCAAAAUACUGCUGCCAAACCAUCUGUCUUUUCCACUGUGUCACUCCCCUCCGAAGAGACAUCACGGGAUACCU